rnacentral:rRNA from 1 species
UGGGGAAUAUUGCACAAUGGGGGAAACCCUGAUGCAGCGACGCCGCGUGAAGGAAGAAGUAUCUCGGUAUGUAAACUUCUAUCAGCAGGGAAGAUAAUGACGGUACCUGACUAAGAAGCCCCGGCUAACUACGUGCCAGCACCCGCGGUAAUACGUAGGGGGCAAGCGUUAUCCGGAUUUACUGGGUGUAAAGGGAGCGUAGACGGCGUAUCAAGUCUGAUGUGAAAGGCAUGGGCUCAACCCGUGGACUGCAUUGGAAACUGGUAUGCUUGAGUGCCGGAGGGGUAAGCGGAAUUCCUAGUGUAGCGGUGAAAUGCGUAGAUAUUAGGAGGAACACCAGUGGCGAAGGCGGCUUACUGGACGGUAACUGACGUUGAGGCUCGAAAGCGUGGGGAGCAAACAGGA